UACGAAGGGUCCUAGCGUUGUUCGGAAUUAUUGGGCUUAAAGAGCACGUAGGCGGGAAGUUAAGUGGUUUGUGAAAUCCCCCGGCUCAACCGGGGAACUGCUUGGCAUACUGGCUUCCUUGAGGCAAGUAGGGGUGCAUGGAACUCUAGGUGGAGCGGUGAAAUGCGUAGAUAUCUAGAGGAACGCCUGUGGAGAAAUCGGUGCACUGGGCUUGUUCUGACGCUGAGGUGCGAAAGCGUGGGUAGCGAACGGG
rnacentral:rRNA from 1 species